rnacentral:lncRNA from 1 species
UAAAUAUCAACAAAAGUAAAUGGACGCAUAUAACCAUCACGCUGCGUAAACACACAUGUCCUCCUAUGACCAUAAAUGGAGCAGCUAUACCAACCAAAGAUACAGUCAAAUACUUAAUUGGUCCCCCCUGAGAUAUCAAGCUCGGGGCUCUGGUUCCGAGAAAAAUAUUUCACAGAGUAAGAGAGACCCCUUUCCUUCCGAAAGAGAUGAGGCUAUAAAAGAAGAAGGAAUACAGAAAGAAAGAAGGGAUACAUAUGUCGGCGUAGGCGCAUGCUAGAAGAUACUAUUUUGUGUCAAGAGUGGGAAAAAUGAAUAGAGGAGAAGUAGAGUAAAUUGAGAGGAAGUAAUAUCUUACAGACGGAUAUCUUAGAGGAAGACCACUGUAUAAACCUGAUAUUAAAAAACUAUCCGAACAUAAACAACAGAAGGUUUCUCAAUAAGACUACUACAAUUUUAUUUC